AACAGUUCGGCCCCUAUGGGGUCUAUGUAGGCUGAAUGAAGGCAUUCUUUAUAACCCAGCGACUCCACUCCUGGGAACAUCCCCAGCAGAAACAAGUCCUGUGAUCAUCGGAAGACAUGCACUAGAAUGUUCACAGCAGAAUUAUUCAUCUGGGCUGUAACUGGAAACUACCAAAUGCCUGUCUCGGUAAAUUGCAAAACCAGCCACAAUCCUUUGCAGUCCAUCCCAUGAAGAAGCAGAGUCAAUUUCCUUUCCCCUGGAACCUGGCCUGGUCUUGCAGCUUGUUGUGGCCAAUAGGACACGGCAGAAGUGAUGCGCGCUGGUUCCAAGACUUCGAGAGGUAUUGCACGCUCCCCUUUGCUCUCCGGGAACUCCGCAGUCACCGUGUGAGAAGUCCCGGCUGCCGGGCUGGAGGAUGGGUGAGCUUCCCCAGCUGGCGUCUUCCUCGACCAGCCAGCCCCAGCCACACGGAUGCAGACACGCGAGCGAGCCCAGCCGACAUCAGCCCAGCUCAGCCCGGCCCAGAAGAACCUCCUAGAUGACGCCCGUCCACAUCUACCAGCUGACGCACGUGCUAAGUAAAUGGCUGUUGUUUUAAGGCACUAAGCUUUGGGGAGCUUUGUUACCCAGCAAUAGCUAAUUGAUACAUCAUCAAGAGUAAAACGGUUACAUUGUGGGAUGUCAUGUUCCCGGAAAGCAGCUCAUUACAGCAGAGGGCGUACAGAAGUAGGUGAACGGGAUCUAUGGUGAGAGAGCCCAUGGGAUUGCAUCUCACGCGGAGGACGGUGUGUAAGGGGAACAUCACAAACAGCCAAUACGCCCUGGAAAAUUCCUUGGGAAGCUGUCAUGUGGGGGCCAACUGCUAUCUCUCCAUAAAUCCGGUACGGCCAGUUUUUCCACCCGAGUUGGGACAGAUCACUAUUUCUCCUGUCAGGCUCCAGACGAAGCAGAGGUUUGUGUGUAGGGGUCACACAGCGAGCCGCAGUAGGCGUUGGACAGAGGCAGGGGCUGGCGCUGUGCAAGAGGGCUGUGAUCACCAGGUCCGGGAAGGAGGGAUUGUCUGCAAUAAAGACGGGCGACCAUGCUCUGCAAGGUGGAACCCCGGGGUGCCGGCAAGGUGCUUAUGGCUUGAGGGUGGGGUAAGGAUGCAGCUUCUCCAGCAGGCUGGCUCUCUCCUUAGCCUCGACAUUCCUUCCUGAACUUGUAGAGUGUCCCGAACCUGGCUGGAGAGUGGAUGGUUCCAGGUACCGCAGGUGGACCCAGCUGGGCUGGCCCUCGGGAGGGCGAGAGACCACGUGGAGCGGACGUCGGACAGCCCCCGUCAAGACAUCAAGAUCACUGAAGCCACCCAGAGAUGCCUAUGUGAGCCUGGGGAAGACCCGCCUAGCUGACCUGCAGAUGCAGGAGAAAUCCUAAAUGCCUACCGUUCGAAGCUCUUGGGUUUUGUGGUGGCUUGUUACGCAGCAGUAGCUAACCGAUACAGAUCGUGAUACCCAGUGCUGGUGAUGGUGUGAGUGAAUAGGUUUCCUCACGCAGAGCCAGCGGGAGGGCGGUUUGCUACAAUUUUGCGUAUCCAUUGAAGUAACUAAAAGAUGAAAAGCACUAUACUUUCUUUUUUUUUUUUUUUAUUUAAAAAAAAAUUUUUUUUUUCAACGUUUAUUUAUUUUUGGGACAGAGAGAGACAGAGCA